rnacentral:lncRNA from 1 species
CCAACCCCCGCCCCACACGCACCGGCUGCCUGUGGGGCUGGGGAAGCAGAAGGGGAGAGGAUGACCAGGAGUCAGGAGAGGGUGUGGUAUGAAAAGGUGGAGGUUCCAGCACAGCUGGCAGCUUUCUAGCUAGGGGAAGGAUGGAUGACUUGAGGAAUCUUUAGCUGUUCAAAUCUGGGGUAGGGAGACUAUAAAAUCUAGAGGAGCAAGAGUAAGGGCAGAUGACCCCUAAAUACAUCCCCCUGAAGACUUGGUGCUGACACAUGUGGAGAAUAGUUUAGAUGGGAGGGGGAAACUGAAGAAUCCCCAGGAGCUGAAUCUACGUAGCACUAAUGUGUCUUCACAGCCCACUCGGCCAGCCUGGGCCAAUCAGAGGGAGCCACAGGAAUCGGAGACCUGUGUGUUACUGAGAACAGCACCUGGCACAAAGAAUGGCCUCAGUCAUCAUCUCUGCUGCCUAAUGUUCUAGGCCUCAGUGUUGGACCACAGAGAGAAAUCCCCUAGGUAUCUCUCAGAUCCAAUUUAAACUGAGAAAAAUCAAAGUAAGCAGCCCUGCAUAGACCAAGAGUCCACACCACACACAUCGCGGUAUCGUCACCUGAACAGACACACCUGCGUAACUCCUUCACCAGUUCCCAUUGCAGAAGAGUGCUAACUGCUUUUCUGUUGCCAGGAUAAAACACCACAGCCAAAGCAUCUUCCAG